UCCCAGGCUGGCCGCUCCGGGUGCCUCUGUGGUCCCAGAACUCCCACCAGGCCCCACCUGGCACUGUUGCCCUGGCUGAGGACCUCUCUCUUUCCUGGUCCCUUAGGAUUCCUGUAUCUUCCGUCUGCUUCCAGGCCAGGGAAACAGAGUGGGGACGUUAAAGAGGUCCCAGAACGGGACUUGAAAUAAUGUGUUUCAGCUUGACUGCAGGAGGGCUGGAGGCUAAGGCAGCACCGGGCAGGGCUGGGUCCCCAUCGCCCCUGCUCUGGACAGCAGCAGAGCGAACUGGCUCCGCUGAGUUCUGGGAGUCCUUGUCGUGAACCGCUGGGCCCGAGGGGAGCGCCUGGGGCCUCCCAGGACUUCAGAGCGGGCACGGCCUUGUCUGUCAGACACGCACCUCAGCUUGAUCGGCUCCGUGUUCCAGGACCCACUGCACACCCACUGCCGUCUACCUGGCACCAGGAUCCUGGAGAGGACCUCAGGCUGACUCAGCGUGUCCACCUUGACAUGCCGGAACGCCUUGCACACGGGGCUCUGCAGGGCGCUCCGGGAAGGGGCGCGGAGGCUGAGGGAUGGCCUGGGCCCGCGGCCCGCUUACCGCCUCCACUCCUCCUCCGUCUCCCAGAACUCGUAGACCACGAAGGUGAAGCCGUCAGCCAGCCUCACGGCCGCGACGCUGAAAGAGAAGCACCAGUUAGGGGCUGUCCGACCGUCCCGCUCAAGGCAGGGCCCCGCCCGGAGACUGGCAGGAGUGGGGAGGGCCCCCAGCAGCUGCUCUCCUGACUGUUCGGUUCAGGGGGCCCCUCCGCCCCCACCACAGGGCCCCGCCUUUCAGAGGCCGAGGAUACUCACCAAAUGAAUGACAAAGCGAUGAUGCUUUAAAAGGGGUUUUAUUCAUUUAAAAAUCUU